UCCCUAGUGACUCAGAGGGUAGAGCACAUGCCUGCAAUGCAGGAGACCUGGGUUUGAUCCCCAGGUCGGGAA
rnacentral:tRNA from 1 species